GCUAUUGCUUCUCAAAGUGUGCUCUUCAUUUUUAGUUGAUUUCACAGUGAAAUACGAAUAAAUAGAAAAGAAAGUGCGUUUAUUUAUUAGAACAGAAGAUGUACGGGGGUUUGGGCAGAAAUAAGUUUAUGGUAGCUCUAGCUACAAAUUUCAAUGAAAUUCACGGUGAAACUUCCUCAAUAAUGGAUAAUACAUCGACUUUAUUUUUGGAAAAUAAUAAAAUAGUUAAAAACCAUGACGAUCUGGCAUUAAAUGCGACAACUAACGAGAUCGAAAGUGAAAAUUGUUUUGAACUUGAGACGGAAAUAGAUGAAGCUAUUAAAACAUUAAUAGAUGACUGUGGAGGACAUGAUGAAUUAAUGUUAUUAGGCGAGAUAAAUGGCGCUUCAGAAAAUGCAUUUUCGGACCUCAACCUAGAAACUGACGGGGGAAAUAGGGUGCAAGACCAUCCAAAGCAAAGUGAUAUUGAUGUUGCGGAGCCUGGAACGCCAGGAAUAUUUCUGACCAACCAAGUAGUGCAAUGCGAUGACAAUGAUGAGUACUUACCAAGUGAAAGCGAAGAUGAACACCUUGAGAGCAAUAAAAAAUUAGAAAGGGCAGAUUUUGAAAUCGAAGAUAGUGAAAAAGAAAAUGAGAUAUUAGUGGAAAAUAUAGAAGAGCACAUUAAAACCAAAAAAAAAUAGGAAACGAAAACCUGAUUCUGGAAGCUGGAAAAAACAAGAGUGUAAGAAUAAACGUGAAAAGGGUGAUGAAUAUGAUGGACUUAGAAAAAAUGCAGAGGGAAAGUGGAUAUUUGACGUAACAAAACCGCCUCG